GGCUGUUGAUUUUAAUGAGGUGUC
rnacentral:siRNA from 1 species